rnacentral:lncRNA from 1 species
AUAGCACACAGCCUUCCAUGAUAGGUGCCCAACUUCAUAGGACUAAUGUGUGUGUAUAUGUGUGCAUAGACUGGCAUAGUUACAUUAAGCCAGCACUUUCUAAAAUGUGUUUUUAAUUCUACCUUCUCAGGUAUCUUCUUAGACAUUGUUUUUCUAACUGCCCAUUUUCAUGAAAUUUUAAUUCCACAGACACAUUGUGCGUUUAUGCCAGUGUGGAUAUGUUUAUGAUUACAUAGUGUGUAUUCAUCUGCACUUUCUACAUAAAAACAGCAAUCUUUUAGUUUCGUUCCCAAGAACUAAUUUUGCCUCUUUGAAAGGAGGGAACCUCACUUAAGAAAAUGCCUCCGUAAGAUUAGGUUGUAGGCAAGCCUGUGGACAUUUUCUUAACUGGUAAUUGAUGGAUGAGUAUCCAGCCAACUGUGGGUAGUGCCAUCCCUGGGCUGAUGGUCCUGGGUUCCAUGAAAAAGCAGGCUGAGCAAGUCAUGAGGUACAAGCCAGUAAGCAGAACCGCUCCGUGGCCUCCACAUCAGUUCCUGCCUCCAGAUUCCUGUCUUGGUUGACCUCCUGUCCUGACUUCCUUUAGUGAUGAACAGUGAGUAACAGGAAAGUGUAAGCCAAAUACACACUUUCCUUCCCAAAUUGCCUUUUGGUCAUCAUGUUUCAUCACAGAAACAGGAAGCCUAACUAAAGCAUCCCUCCUCCAUUGCGAGGUGCAUCUUGUUAAUUUACACAUGGCUGGGUCAAAAAUACCCAACUUGAGGAAGACAAAAAUGGGAGUGUUUAUUAUGGGUAGCAGUCUGAAGAAAUAGCCCAUCAUGGCUGGAACAUGAAAUAGAUGGUCAUACUGCAAUCAAUCAGGAGAUGCUGGUAUUCAGCUUGCUUUUUCCAUUUGAUGUAAGCCUAGGGCCCCAACCUAUAGAAGGCUAUCUUCCCACCUUAUUAACCUAAUUGAGAUAAUCCCUCACAGACACAGCCAGAGGCCAGUCCCCUAGGUGCUUCUAGAUUCUGUCAAAUUGACAAUCAAUACUCACCAUCUCAGGGUAUGGUCAGCCUUUUGAAAAAUCAUGAGCCAGAACAAACUAGCUGAGAAUUCUGCUCUGUCACUUCUUUCUCUUUGAACCUCCAGUUUCUGUCCCUCACCAGAGGAUGUCAGGAUACUGCCCUUGCUGUGGGGUUCACAGAGCGUAAUGAACCACCAAGGAAUGGUUUUUUGGACCACCUUUGCUAUUGAAUGAGUUUUUACGUACAUUAUCUUGCUUGGUCCUACCAUGAGCCCCUGAAACAUAAUGCUUUGUGUCAUGUUAGUAUAAACAUCACCCUCCCAGCUUGUCUCAUGGCAUCUGAGAUGGUAUGAGUGGUAAUCCUCUCAAGGUCAUACAUAUGAUAGCACUUGUUGGUCCUACAGCUUUAGACCAAGUGAUCUGGUUCAGGACUCUUCCAGUUGCACCUGACCAUGUUUUGGUCAGAUGCCAGACACUGUUGUGUUAGUUUAGACAGUAGAGGAGUCAUUUCCAAGGGUACAUUGUAAAGACCAACCACAUAUUCCUUUCUCCUAAUACAUGGAAAAUGGAGUCUUUGAGGCUUUGAGCCAAUUAGUCACACCUUUCCUGUUUGGCUUGGUAACUUAAGGCAGUUUGGUAUUUUAAGUUUCCUCAAGGUUGAAAGACCUUGGCCUUUCAAUCAAAUGAGGAUGAUGGCUUUUGUGCCAAGAUUAGGGCCUUAUGAGAUGAACAAUAAUAAUUGUUCAGAGAAAGAUAACUCUUCAGCGAUAGCCAUGAUCCAGCGCUGUGCUGAUUUCU